UACGGAGGGUGCGAGCGUUGUCCGGAAUCAUUGGGCGUAAAGAGCUCGUAGGCGGCUUGUCGCGUCGUCCGUGAAAACCUGCGGCUCAACUGCAGGCUUGCGGUCGAUACGGGCAGGCUGGAGUUCGGUAGGGGAGACUGGAAUUCCUGGUGUAGCGGUGAAAUGCGCAGAUAUCAGGAGGAACACCGGUGGCGAAGGCAGGUCACUGGGCCGCAACUGACGCUGAGGAGCGAAAGCAUGGGGAGCGAACAGG
rnacentral:rRNA from 1 species